ACAAAGGACGCAAGUUGAGAGCAUGUGGACCCUGUCCCGAGUACCUGACACAUGGACACAUUUGCUUCUCUCUCUCUGGAGGACUGAAGACAAUCUCACAGAGAGGGCGCACAGCCUGGAGACACACUGAGAAGGCAGAGGCUGGCAGCCAGGAUGCGGCCACCCGAAGCCCGAGCUGCCCACCAGGGCCUCCAGGGGAGGAGCCAGGAGCCUGGGGCUGUCAGCAGGAAAACAGUUGCUCAGCCCUAAGCAGUCUCUGAUUGGUGGAGGUGAACCACUUGACAAGGUGUUCGGCCAACCAGGAAGCCGCCAUACCAUCAGUUCCCUCUGCCUUCUGGUCUUUCGGCUGCUUCUGGCCUGAUGAGCUGGACCAAAAGAGAAAGAGAAAUGGUAGGAAGAACGGUGGGCCCAGGGGUGUGCCCACAUCCUCUCUUCUCUCCAGCUCUUCUCAGCCUAUCCCACCUAAUCUGGAGAGCAUGUCAGUGCAGUGGGGACAGUGGCUAACACGUGCGUUGUCCCAUGUUGAUUUCAUGGCUGGACUCUGGCCAAAGGCAGGAAUAUUCAAGAGCUGUAGAGGCCUGGGCUAGCGGGGCUUGGGCCUGGAUGGGGGGGUCACUGGAUGACUCAGGGGUGAAGAUCAAAUGGAUGAAGAUGUCUGCCCCUGGGGGUCUCCUACCUCUCAGCAGCUGCCGGGCCUAGUUCCUCCAAAUUAGCAGUAGAGAAGAGACUAGCCUUGGUAGAUCCUUGGACCACCACAUCUGGAAUACAUCUCCGAACACACCUAAGUAAAAGAUUCCCAGGUAUGGCUUCUCUGACUACAGGAUUUUAGAACGGACUUGGGAGCUGUCCACAGAGUGGCUAAUGAUAUUCACAUAGCCUGGAUGUCAUAUGCCAUCUGUGACUACCAUCUUGCUUCACAAGACAGGGCAUUUUAGUAGGGAAAAAAUGGAAAGAUACACUCUCAGAAUAAAUGACAAUUCCUAAUAUA